GACUUCCUUGUUUGUAUGAGCGAAAAGACUGAACCAAAAGAGACAGGGGGUGAAAACAAGAUAGGUCUGUGGAAGAGACCUGUAGGCGGAGAGCGGUCCCUGUUUUCCUGGAGAAAGACGAGUCGCAAGAUAUCAUCACCAGGGGAAACCAGGCUGAGCUGGAUCUUUACGUCGUCACCAGUGGGCGGGGAGACCAGCCUUGUACCCACUGGACAGCGGGCCCAUUCCGAGUCAGGGAAGCAGAAGGCCUGGAGGAGCUUCGGGGAGCAGGGGCUGGAGUUCCUCUGCCAGGCAGGAGGCUGACACCAGACACCGGGCAGAGGGAGGCGGCGCAUGGACGGCGAGGGCCCAGCAAGGAUUCUCCCCAGCCCCUGUGCCUGCGUCUCCUGCGGCUUCUGUGCGCGGACCGUGUCCUGUGCUGUGUAGGGAAAGCUGCUUCUCUGCUUGGGACGUGGAUUCCUUUACCCUCCUCCUCGCCUGACUACUUCUGACGCGGGUCGUCAGGACUCCGCUUGGGUGUCACCCGUCCAGGAAGCCUCCCUUAAUUAAGGGCCCUCGGCACCCACCCCAUAUGUGAUUAGCAGCCCUCCUGUGUAUUUCAUCGCACCUCGUUGUUUAUAUCAACUACUCCACUCACCACCCUUCUGGGCAGUCCUUUAUCUCCCCCUCUGAAAUCCGAUCGCUGAGGGCUGGGACCCUCAUCAGUACUUAUCCCCGUUUCUCUGCGCUAGUCUAAUUAGUGCCUGGCAAGUUGAAGGCGCUCAGUAAACGUUUGUGGAGCGAAGAAACGACGGAUAGGGCGUAAUGAGCACGACACACGCAAUCAGAGAGGACGCAGUUAGGAGGCUAUUGGCCCGGGGCAGGCGUGAAGGGGGAAGAUCGGGCUCGGGGUGGGAGGACACCAGAGGGCGGGGUGACUGUCGGGGUGCUCUGGAGGAAGAUGGGCGUCAAGGCCCCCAGCAAGGUUGGGAUAAAUUUUCUCUCUGAGGCACAGACUGCCGCCUGUAGCGUCAGCAUUUACCAUUCCCGUCCUCCUUCCUAACACAACAGUUGAGAUGAGAGUUUAUGGCUCUUUUAUUUGAUUUCAGAAAAGCAAGAAGGUAUCAUAGAUCCGAUAGUGACACUCAGUCAGUCAUGCUCCCCCUGCAGGAUGGAAAGCCGGAUGGCAGGGAUUGCCUGGUGAACAACCAGGUCAAAAAAUAUAAACUGUGCCUUUCCCAAUGCCAGCCUCGGGUCCGAGGGCUCUACGUGCAUUAUCUCUUUUAGUUCACUCGACAGCCCUAAGAGAUGGGCGUUAUUAUUAGCCACGGCCAGGAUUAGGGUGAGGUCAUUCCUCUAGGUUCGAAUUUCAGGGGGUGAUCCUCCAGAACCCUUCAGUAAUCAAAAUAAAUAAUAGUUCAAUGCAAUAUAUCUUAUCUCGAUUAUAAGAUAAUCAAGCCAUUUAUCUGGAUUGCUGAGUCUUUUGGUGCCCCCUUAUUUUUUUUUUUAACCUCUCAGCAAGUGUUUCCCUCAUUUCACUUUACCCCAGUCUCCACCGAGUCAUUGUCAUCUCCAUUCUAUUACCCUGUGAAGUGCAAUAUGGCAGCCACCCACCUCGGCCUCCCAAAGUGCUGAGAUUAUAGGCGUGAGCCACUGCGCCUGGCCUGUCUGUCUGUCUGUCUAUCUAUCUAUCUAUCUAUCUAUCUAUCUGUUCUUUUUUCUGAGACGGAGUCUCGCACUGUCGCCCGGGCUGGAGUGCAGUGGCGCUAUCUCAGCUCACUGCAACCUCCGCCUCCCGUGUUUAAGCGACUCUCCUGCGUCAGCCUCCCAAGUAGCUGGGACUACAGGUGCGUGCCACCACACCGGACUGAUUUUUUGUAUUUUUAGUAGAGACGGGGUUUCACCGUGUUAGCCAGGAUGGUCUCCAUCUCCUAACCUCGUGAUCCGCGUGCCUCGGCCUCCCAAAGUGCUGGGAUUACAGGCAUGAUCCACCGCGCCUGGCCAUAUCUAUCUAUAUUUUGAGACAAGGUUUCCCUCUGUUGUCCAGGCUGGAGUGCAGUGUUACAAUCACGGUUCACUCACCAUACACCAAGAUAAAUGCCAAGUGGGCCAAAGAUUUCAAAGUGAAAAAAA
rnacentral:lncRNA from 1 species